UAAUGCUCCAGCAGCCCCAAAGUGCCAGGCUCCGGGUUGGGGUCCAUACAGUCCUUGUAACAAUUCAGCAAGAAACAUGUCAUUGCAUCCAUUUUACAGAGGAGGAAGCUGAAGCUCAGAGACAUGGAGCAGUUGAGCCCCAAGUUCCACAGUGGUGCAGAGUCAUUCGGCCCAAAUUUCCACCAUUGGACUGAGACUUCUACUGACCCCGAAGGCUCCCUGCUGGAAAGCUAGUCCAGCUAGAAAGAUAACGGCUGCUACUUGCAAUUAGCAUAAGAACAUAAGUUAACGUGUUCUGUCAAGAGAUGGUAGCAGAGCGGAGGGCAUCACGGGACAGAUGAAGAAGCCAGCUCAGGAAAGCUCAAGGAUAAAUGAGAGAAAUAGUAUUGAAUUCAGAUCAAGUUCAAAAUCAAUGCUAUUGCCAUGGAAAUAAAAUUCGGCUGACCAAGUAUUGGAACAGAGACGUCCUCAGCGAAACCAGGUCCUGGCACACACCGGAAUGUUUUUCUGUAUUUUCAUCCUGGACCUUCUAAAAGAGGCUGCAUUUCACCUAUUUCCCUCAUGAAGUCUCCAUCAGGGCUCCUCUGGCUCAAAACAGGACCUCUGCUCAGGACCCACCCUCACCGAGUGAGCUGAAGACCUUCAGACACAGCCAGGGUGGCCAGGAACCAGGGCAUCACAGUGCUGAGGUUUUGUAUAAGGAAGCCCGUGAGUGUGGACCUGGGCUCCAGGCUAGGCUCCACCACCGGCGAGCUGGGACAGCAUCCCCACGGGAAGCGGACACGGGAACCCGUGUGCAGACUCAAGAUGGGCAUCUUCUUGGUGCACAAGGUCCAGCCUCCAGCAGAAUUGCUCACGUGAUCCGAGCAUCCAAACCCUAAAUGCAAAGGGCAGCGACUCCACUUCGGUCAUCUCCUCAUUCUCUUUGCCCAUUUUCAACAAUGGGGUUGGGAACCCAAAUUUUGUCUGUAGAUGCCAAUUGUAUCAUUUAGUCCUCACCACAAGGAGGCAUCCUCGCCCGCCACCUAAAGACAAGACUCUGAGGCUGAGAAGGGUUGAAUGUCUUGUCCAAGGUCACACAGCUAGAAAGAGCCACAGCUGGGACUUGGGGGGUGGGGUGACAUCAGCAUUUGUGCUAACCGCCAAGCUAGACUGUCUUCGCCCUCCAAAACAAAUUCUUCACUUGAUAAAUGGGGAAGUUGAGGCCCAGAGAAGCCGAGAAAGUUCCUCAGGGUCACAUAGUCCAUUGGUAGGAGAGCUGAGACUGGGUAACAGAAAAGAAUAGUUUCUUGCUGAAUUCUUGGGAGAAGCAAGAAUAAGAUGUGAGGGGACCGGGCACUUAGGGCAGGAUGACGCGGUUACACCCCAUGAACGAGGAGCCCUGACAGCAGUGAGGGGGCUUAGGAGGAGAACCCAGGGACCCCAGAAGACCCCAGCACCGAGGCAGCCCUCGCCCUGGCCCCAAA